AGAACUUUUUGUCUGUAGAAAUAAAGGGAAAAUAGGAUAUGAUCGCUAUGUGCAAAGGUUCCCACUCGUUCAUUAUGGUAUUCGUAUUUUGAUGCAUUAAUUGGUUUUAAACUGAAGUUCUCAGCCGAUUGUUGUGAAAGAUGGUUUUGAUAUCUGCAAAGCAGUUUCCAGUAACAAAGUUAAACAAGAGGGAGGAUGUUCUUUGUCAGACCCGUCAGCUACGUCGUAAACCUUACCAUGACAUCUUCAAACUCGUAAUUUAAGCAGCUAUAACGCAAAGUAUCAACGAUCAUAUAUAACAGAUAAUAAUUUGAAUGUUAUUUAAAAACAGAUAAUAACAGGCUGGGUUGUUCAAAAAUAUAUGAUUGCUAUCCACCAGCAUGAUCAGAGUAUAUGAUUGGUUUGAAGUACUACGAAGAACGUACAUUCGUACAACACACAAAGAAAUAGUAAAUCUAAAGAUUGAGCGCUAUUGUUUCAUUGCUGAAUGAGCAUUCAUUUAAUUUUUUGUUUAAGUCUAAUAAUUUUGAAUACAUUAAGCUCCUGAA